GAUUGUGAGGCCUCCCCCAAAUUGCCCAGUCUUGGAAAAUCUGAAUUGAUACAGCAGCUCAUCUGAAAAAAAAAGAUGGGGUGGUGGUGGUGGUGGAGAAAACAGCAACUUAAAUAGUGCCAUCUACGAAUUAGGAGUGUUCACUGAAUGAGCAUGAGAUGCAGGUACCUUGUUCCCUCAGCCAGGUUCUAUGUUCCUUAAAGUCCUAAUUUUAGUCAGUAAAUAUUUAUGGCAUUUACUCUAUGCCAGACAAUGUUCUAAAUAUUUUAUUUAUACUGAAUUAUUUGGUGUUUACAUCAGCCAUAUGAUUAACUACUGUUUCCAUUUUGCAGAUGAGAACAUUGAAGCACAGAGAAAUUAUGUUAACUUGUCCAGUGCCAAAGAGCUAUUAAGUGGCAGAGCUGGGAUUUACUUCCACUGCACUGUUGCCUCUUUGGUUAGGAGCUCUUUGCUGUGCUGAGAUUGCAGUAUUUAAAGAUAGACACUGCACCAGGAACUGGAGGACAAGGUAGCCAAUUUCUUGCCAUUCUAUUAAGGGAGGAAGAUUUUAAACAAAUAACUACAACAAAAUGUACAGAGUGGCAUGAUCAAAGGAGUACAAGGAGCUAUCAGAGAUGACUAGGAGUUGGCCAGAUGAAGAAAGUGUAGAGGGAAGUGUCUUGAAACCUUUCCCCUGAACAAACCUGAAAGGUAGAAGACCAUGAGAUGACGCCUCUGGGGGACUGGGUAUAUAGCUCAAGGCUGUCCACACAACUGGGAUAUCCUUUCAUUGAGGAACCCUGCCUCCAUCUUCAGCUCUGGAGGUUCAUGCAAGUGGUUUGGAGCUAAUUCAUCCAAAACUGGCAUAGCGAUUCAGGAAUCCAGGUCUAAGACAGUUAGCACUUGCUAGGCCCCUGGACUCCAUUCAUGAAUCGAUCAAGCUCAGGCCAGAGACACAAGAGGGAGAAAUUCUUAGGGUUCUAAGUCAGACAUUUCCUAUAACUGAAAAACAAACCACUGGAUGUCAGAGGGAAGUAAAUACACUGAGUAAGGGUCAAUCAAAAAACUAUGGAGAAACUGAGUUAUAGUCUUCAGGUUAAUAAAUCCUCAAGUCUAGCUGGUUUCUAGGUUUCUUUUUUCCUGAGCCAAAUGUAUUUCCUUAUUAUUUAAGAUAGUCUGAAUUUUUGUUGCUUUGUUAUUGUUGUUCUCACUUAAACAAACCACCUCUGAUAUGUUUUGUUCCUUCUCUUGCCAUGAGACACACUGGCUCCUUUUCACAUUUUGCUAUGAUUGUAAGCUUCCUGAGGCUGCCAACCAGAAGCUAAGCAGAUGCUGUUACUUUGCUUGUGAAGUCUGCAGAAUGAUGAGACAAAUAAACCUCUUUUCUUUCUGAAUUACCCAGCUUCAGAUGUUACAUCCUUGCCUUUACUAUCAUGCUGGAGAAAAAUCAUUCUUUGGAGAAUAAACUAGUGGGAGUGUGGUCUCAGGGACACCAACAUCUGGGGAGAGCAAGGUAGUGUGGCAUGGGAUUAAAGAAAACGUAUACAACAAAUUCGGAGACCCUCAGCAGCCUUCCCCCAUUGCUUUAGAAGGCCAGCAGCCAGACAUAUGUCCUAUUCUUCACCUUCUACAGCAGCAGAUUGGAAGGUCAUUUUGUGUAGAAAUGAAGUGGGCCCAGAGAGAUUUUUAGACACAGACAUGUGGAGCUCUCCAUCAGGAAGGAUGGCUUGCCCUUUCAUUACCCCGAGUAAAACCCAGCAAUUAAGUAUCUGCCCAUGCUUACAGUGCUUCAGAUGAAACACUUGAUGCUUCACUCUGAAAAAACAAGCGGACAAUCCAGGAUAACUGGAUAUUUUGAGGAAGGCUUUCCACAUGAAAGAGCUGAAAACACGCACAAUAUCAACCAGCCAAUGAAAGAAACAAAUCAACAAAACAACAAGGAAAAGGAAUUCAGUGAAAUAGAGACAAUGUUGGGAACAAAGGAAAAUUUUCAAAAAGCUGCCACUAAUAACUUCAGAAAUACAAGAAAAUUUGUUGCAUCUUUAGAAUAACAACAGGAAGCUUGGGAAAAAGAAACAUCAGAGCAAUAAA
rnacentral:lncRNA from 1 species